GACGAACGCUGGCGGCGUGCUUAACACAUGCAAGUCGAACGGAAAGACCCUGCUUUUGUGGGGUGCUCGAGUGGCGAACGGGUGAGUAACACGUGAGUAACCUGCCCUUGACUUUGGGAUAACUUCAGGAAACUGGGGCUAAUAACGGAUAGGAGCUCCUGCUGCAUGGUGGGGGUUGGAAAGUUUCGGCGGUUGGGGAUGGACUCGCGGCUUAUCAGCUUGUUGGUGGGGUAGUGGCUUACCAAGGCUUUGACGGGUAGCCGGCCUGAGAGGGUGACCGGCCACAUUGGGACUGAGAUACGGCCCAGACUCCUACGGGGGGCAGCAGUGGGGAAUAUUGCACAAUGGGCGGAGGCCGGAUGCAGCAACGCCGCGUGCGGGAUGACGGCCUUCGGGUUGUAAACCGCUUUCGCCUGUGACGAAGCGUGAGUGACGGUAAUGGGUAAAGAAGCACCGGCUAACUACGUG
rnacentral:rRNA from 1 species